AUGACAUUUAAUAUCCGUUGUGUUUUCCAGUCAGACUGUGUUGAGUUUGUUGUGUUCAAAUUUGUAUCACUGUGGUUGACUUUUGGUGGAGGAACCAGACUGGAGGUUGAUUUGGGUCAUGUUCCCCCCAAGCUGACAGUGCUGUCCCCCUCCAUGCAUGAGGGGAAGGCCACACUCCUGUGUCUGGCCAACAAUGGCUUCCCUUCAGGCUGGACUCUGUCCUGGAAGGUGGGCGGCAGCAGCAUCAGCAGCAGCUGGGAGGAGAGCAGGAGCCCCGGGGUGCUGCAGAAGGACGGCCUCUACAGCUGGAGCAGCACCCUGAGGCUCCCUGCAGACCAGUGGGAGAAGCUGGACUCUGUGACCUGUGAGGCCACCCAGGACUCCCAGACUCCAGUCAUAGAGACUCUGUGGAGAAACCAGUGUUCCUAGUCACCACCUGACUAACUGGAACAAUAUUAUUGUGUUUUUCCUUUUACUGAGAUUUCAGCUGCAUUGAUGUUUUUUAAUCCUUUUUUCUUUUUGUGCUAUAAAAACAUUUUUAGUAGACGUUACUUAUUUGAUACUAUCUGCAAAAUAAAAAUUGCUC